UGGAUCCAGACUUUGAUUCUGGCUCAGGAUGAACGCUAGCUACAGGCUUAACACAUGCAAGUCGAGGGGAAACGACAUCGAAAGCUUGCUUUUGAUGGGCGUCGACCGGCGCACGGGUGAGUAACGCGUAUCCAACCUGCCCACCACUUGGGGAUAACCUUGCGAAAGUAAGACUAAUACCCAAUGAUAUCUCUAGAAGACAUCUGAAGGAGAUUAAAGAUUUAUCGGUGAUGGAUGGGGAUGCGUCUGAUUAGCUUGUUGGCGGGGUAACGGCCCACCAAGGCGACGAUCAGUAGGGGUUCUGAGAGGAAGGUCCCCCACAUUGGAACUGAGACACGGUCCAAACUCCUACGGGAGGCAGCAGUGAGGAAUAUUGGUCAAUGGGCGAGAGCCUGAACCAGCCAAGUAGCGUGCAGGAUGACGGCCCUAUGGGUUGUAAACUGCUUUUAUAAGGGAAUAAAGUGAGUCUCGUGAGACUUUUUGCAUGUACCUUAUGAAUAAGGACCGGCUAAUUCCGUGCCAGCAGCCGCGGUAAUACGGAAGGUCCGGGCGUUAUCCGGAUUUAUUGGGUUUAAAGGGAGCGUAGGCCGGAGAUUAAGCGUGUUGUGAAAUGUAGACGCUCAACGUCUGCACUGCAGCGCGAACUGGUUUCCUUGAGUACGCACAAAGUGGGCGGAAUUCGUGGUGUAGCGGUGAAAUGCUUAGAUAUCACGAAGAACUCCGAUUGCGAAGGCAGCUCACUGGAGCGCAACUGACGCUGAAGCUCGAAAGUGCGGGUAUCGAACAGGAUUAGAUACCCUGGUAGUCCGCACGGUAAACGAUGGAUGCCCGCUGUUGGUCUGAAUAGGUCAGCGGCCAAGCGAAAGCAUUAAGCAUCCCACCUGGGGAGUACGCCGGCAACGGUGCAACUCAAAUGAAUUGACGGA
rnacentral:rRNA from 1 species